UACGAAGGGGGGCUAGCGUUGCUCGGAAUCACUGGGCGUAAAGGGUGCGUAGGCGGGUCUUUAAGUCAGGGGUGAAAUCCUGGAGCUCAACUCCAGAACUGCCUUUGAUACUGAAGAUCUUGAGUUCGGGAGAGGUGAGUGGAACUGCGAGUGUAGAGGUGAAAUUCGUAGAUAUUCGCAAGAACACCAGUGGCGAAGGCGGCUCACUGGCCCGAUACUGACGCUGAGGCACGAAAGCGUGGGGAGCAAACAGGG
rnacentral:rRNA from 1 species